rnacentral:rRNA from 1 species
GAUGAACGCUAGCGGCAGGCUUAACACAUGCAAGUCGAGGGGUAUAGGUUUUCGGACCUAGAGACCGGCGCACGGGUGCGUAACGCGUAUGCAAUCUACCUUUCACAGAGGGAUAGCCCAGAGAAAUUUGGAUUAAUACCUCAUAGUAUAGCAGUUUCGCAUGAAACCACUAUUAAAGUUCCAACGGUGAAAGAUGAGCAUGCGUCCCAUUAGCUAGAUGGUAAUGUAACGGCUUACCAUGGCUACGAUGGGUAGGGGUCCUGAGAGGGAGAUCACCCACACUGGUACUUAGAAACGGACCAGACUCCUACGGGAGGCAGCAAUGAGGAAUAUUGGUCAAUGGACGCAAGUCUGAACCAGCCAUGCCGCGUGCAGGAUGACGGUCCUAUGGAUUGUAAACUGCUUUUGUACGAGAAGAAACAACAUUACGUGUAAUGUCUUGACGGUAUCGUAAGAAUAAGGAUCGGCUAACUCCGUGCCAGCCGCCGCGGUAACAC